rnacentral:hammerhead_ribozyme from 1 species
AUCCAGCUGAUGAGUCCCAAAUAGGACGAAACUCGCAUGCUGGAU